GAGGACAAGUGUUGGCUAUUUAGGGCCGCCUAGGUCCGGUGCUGCUCUUUUUUUUUUGGUUGUAUAAAGGAGAGAUUGCAUCUGUUGUAUUGUAAUUGGUUAGGCUUGUCCGGCAGCUCCCUCGUAAAAAAGGGUUACUGCUUUAUUUUCUUUCGCCUUUCCGAAAUGAAACCGGAGUAUUCUUUAUCAAUGCUCUAGAGUGUGGGUGCCAUGAAUUUCAAUUUGUCAUGUAAGAAAAUGUAAUUUGGCUAGCAGACAUAACUGCUUGUAUGAUUUUAUGAAUAUUAACAAUGUUGCGUCAAGUGCACUUAUGGAAAAUCUAGCAAUUGAAUCCACUGAAAG
rnacentral:lncRNA from 1 species